CGCUGGGCUUCUCACUGCCUUGGUUUGGGUCAGCACAUGCCACAUGGCUGCUCGUAGGUGGAUGCUGGCAUCUCAGCGUCAUUCUCAUUUCUUAGAAGCCUUGGAGCCACAUUCUUCUUGGGAGUUGAUUAUACGUUUCCAAAUUAACUCCCUGAUGCUUGUUUGAGAUCCUGGCAUCUUGAACUGUAAUAUGUGUUUCCUGCCUCAUCCCAGCUCUACUCUAGAUUUUGGAUGAUAAACAGAUGGGAGCAGUUAAUAUGAAAUUCCUUAGGGCAGGAUUUACUAACUGUAUCUGUGUGGCCUGAAGGAGCUAAGAGAACUCUGACGUUCUAGACCUGUGGUGUCAUGCCCUAGGGAUUAUCUAGCCAGGUCUGCAAGGUGAGCAUGUAACCCUCUCCAGAGCACCCAGCAGAGCACCCCAGGGUGGAGCUCUCUUGGCCACUGUGGCUCUUCCUCUUCUGGCCUUUCCAGUCUCUGGUGUGCUUUGCCCAGCAGUGUCUCUGAGAUGCUGCAGACAAGAACAUAGGGAGUCCAGAUGACAAAGGUGCCCAGUUUGAGAGCUGUCUCCAGCCAAUUGCUGAGUUCCCUCAGUCUCUCUGAUUCCUGGCCUCAAGCCCAGCUUAGCCGCUCUUAGCAUCUCAGCUUGGCUCCUGGGAUCUCCAGGAAGCUUCCACCCUCAGUCAUGAGGGCCCCCUCAAGCAUAUCUCUCAAAUCUUGAAUGAAUCUGCCUCGAGCUCCUGUUCCCAUCUAAUUCCUGAGGAGCUGCUAGUUUCUUACCCUGAACCCCCGUACUUUGUCAUACCCCUCAUUCCUUCUAGACUAUCCUCCAUCAAGUGGGAUCAGGGAAUGCCUGUAAGGCACGACCAGCCAACUCGAUACUUUGGCAGGUGGGUGUGGGGUGAGGCCAGAUUGGAUCAGAUAGGAGACAAAAUAGCCAGAGGAGGGAGAGAGCAGCUGGACACAGGGAUACUCAGGAGUCAGGCCAAGGAAGUCCAGCUUUGGUAUGAGUCCACAGAGUGAGUGAAGACUGAACACGAGUCUCACAGCUGAGAAGGCCAAAGCCUGAGGAAGGUGGCUUGGAGGGAAGUGGCGAGUGAAAAGCAGAGACAGGAAGCCAGCUGCAGCAACAGAGAGUCUCAGGCUCAUGUGCAUCUCAGCUUCUUAAAUGAAGGGCUUCAGAGAGCUUCCAGGUGCUGGGCAGGUGAUGUGCCCACAGAGGACAUGGAAGCUCUGUGCCCCUUCCCCAUACUUUGCUCCUUGGAUCUCUUCUGUUUGACAGUUCCCAACUUGGAACCUUUAUAAUAAACCAAUAAUAGUAAG